GGCGCUAUGGUGUAGUGGCAGCACAUGGGAUUUUGAGAAUGAUUUCCCAUAACCCAGGUUCGAACCCUGGUAGUGCCU